rnacentral:lncRNA from 1 species
UUCGGUCCACUCAUCACCAUGAGCACCCACAUAUCUGUCUAAAUAUCACAUGUCCUAUGGCAUGAGAUCCACCGCUCUACUAUCAUCAAUAUUACUAUGUUGAUCAGUAGAAGCAAAUAGAGGUGACAUUCUACUUUGGAUGAAUCAUUUUCAAUGAGACAUUCUAUGACUGUGAACAUUUUAUAAUAUUUUCUACAAGUACGUUCCGUCAUUAUAUUCUUAACUCCCUGAGAAUGGAAAACUACCAAAAGCUAAUGGAUAAUAAAUUACAUUUAAUUAUUUAAAAAACUUUUAAUCAAUUAAAUUAUAUAUUAUUU